AUUGAACGCUGGCGGCAUGCCUUACACAUGCAAGUCGAACGGCAGCACGGAGCUUGCUCUGGUGGCGAGUGGCGAACGGGUGAGUAAUAUAUCGGAACGUACCCAGGAGUGGGGGAUAACGUAGCGAAAGUUACGCUAAUACCGCAUACGAUCCAAGGAUGAAAGCAGGGGACCGCAAGGCCUUGUGCUCCUGGAGCGGCCGGUAUCUGAUUAGCUAGUUGGUGGGGUAAAGGCCCACCAAGGCAUCGAUCAGUAGCUGGUCUGAGAGGACGACCAGCCACACUGGAACUGAGACACGGUCCAGACUCCUACGGGAGGCAGCAGUGGGGAAUUUUGGACAAUGGGGGCAACCCUGAUCCAGCAAUGCCGCGUGAGUGAAGAAGGCCUUCGGGUUGUAAAGCUCUUUUGUCAGGGAAGAAAAGGGAUUGGCUAAUAUCCAGUCCUCAUGACGGUACCUGAAGAAUAAGCACCGGCUAACUACGUGCCAGCCGCCGCAGUAA
rnacentral:rRNA from 1 species